rnacentral:rRNA from 1 species
GCAUAACGCGAAGAACCUUACCUGGCCUUGACAUGUCCGGAAUCCUGCAGAGAUGCGGGAGUGCCUUCGGGAAUCGGAACACAGGUGCUGCAUGGCUGUCGUCAGCUCGUGUCGUGAGAUGUUGGGUUAAGUCCCGCAACGAGCGCAACCCUUGUCCUUAGUUGCCAGCGAGUAAUGUCGGGAACUCUAAGGAGACUGCCGGUGACAAACCGGAGGAAGGUGGGGAUGACGUCAAGUCCUCAUGGCCCUUACGGCCAGGGCUACACACGUACUACAAUGGUCGGUACAGAGGGUUGCAAUACCGCGAGGUGGAGCCAAUCCCAGAAAGCCGAUCCCAGUCCGGAUUGGAGUCUGCAACUCGACUCCAUGAAGUCGGAAUCGCUAGUAAUCGUGGAUCAGAAUGCCACGGUGAAUACGUUCCCGGGUCUUGUACACACCG